rnacentral:rRNA from 1 species
AAAUUGAAGAGUUUGAUCAUGGCUCAGAUUGAACGCUGGCGGCAGGCCUAACACAUGCAAGUCGAACGGUAACAGGAAGCAGCUUGCUGCUUUGCUGACGAGUGGCGGACGGGUGAGUAAUGUCUGGGAAACUGCCUGAUGGAGGGGGAUAACUACUGGAAACGGUGGCUAAUACCCGCAUAACGUCGCAAGACCAAAGAGGGGGACCUUCGGGCCUCUUGCCAUCAGAUGUGCCCAGAUGGGAUUAGCUUGUUGGUGAGGUAACGGCUCACCAAGGCGACGAUCCCUAGCUGGUCUGAGAGGAUGACCAGCCACACUGGAACUGAGACACGGUCCAGACUCCUACGGGAGGCAGCAGUGGGGAAUAUUGCACAAUGGGCGCAAGCCUGAUGCAGCCAUGCCGCGUGUAUGAAGAAGGCCUUCGGGUUGUAAAGUACUUUCAGCGGGGAGGAAGGUGUUGUGGUUAAUAACCGCAGCAAUUGACGUUACCCGCAGAAGAAGCACCGGCUAACUCCGUGCCAGCAGCCGCGGUAAUACGGAGGGUGCAAGCGUUAAUCGGAAUUACUGGGCGUAAAGCGCACGCAGGCGGUCUGUCAAGUCGGAUGUGAAAUCCCCGGGCUCAACCUGGGAACUGCAUUCGAAACUGGCAGGCUUGAGUCUUGUAGAGGGGGGUAGAAUUCCAGGUGUAGCGGUGAAAUGCGUAGAGAUCUGGAGGAAUACCGGUGGCGAAGGCGGCCCCCUGGACAAAGACUGACGCUCAGGUGCGAAAGCGUGGGGAGCAAACAGGAUUAGAUACCCCUGGUAGUCCACGCCGUAAACGAUGUCUACUUGGAGGUUGUGCCCUUGAGGCGUGGCUUCCCGGAGCUAACGCGUUAAGUAGACCGCCUGGGGAGUACGGCCGCAAGGUUAAAAACUCAAAUGAAUUGACGGGGCCCGCACAAGCGGUGGAGCAUGUGGUUUAAUUCGAUGCAACGCGAAGAACCUUACCUGGUCUUGACAUCCACAGAAGAAUCCAGAGAUGGAUUUGUGCCUUCGGGAACUGUGAGACAGGUGCUGCAUGGCUGUCGUCAGCUCGUGUUGUGAAAUGUUGGGUUAAGUCCCGCAACGAGCGCAACCCUUAUCCUUUGUUGCCCAGCGGUUAGGCCGGGAACUCAAAGGAGACUGCCAGUGAUAAACUGGAGGAAGGUGGGGAUGACGUCAAGUCAUCAUGGCCCUUACGAUCAGGGCUACACACGUGCUACAAUGGCGCAUACAAAGAGAAGCGACCUCGCGAGAGCAAGCGGACCUCAUAAAGUGCGUCGUAGUCCGGAUUGGAGUCUGCAACUCGACUCCAUGAAGUCGGAAUCGCUAGUAAUCGUGGAUCAGAAUGCCACGGUGAAUACGUUCCCGGGCCUUGUACACACCGCCCGUCACACCAUGGGAGUGGGUUGCAAAAGAAGUAGGUAGCUUAACCUUCGGGAGGGCGCUUACCACUUUGUGAUUCAUGACUGGGGUGAAGUCGUAACAAGGUAACCGUAGGGGAACCUGCGGUUGGAUCACCUCCUUACCUUAAAGAA